UGGGGAAUAUUGGACAAUGGGGGCAACCCUGAUCCAGCAAUGCCGCGUGUGUGAAGAAGGUCUUCGGAUUGUAAAGCACUUUCGACGGGGACGAUGAUGACGGUACCCGUAGAAGAAGCCCCGGCUAACUUCGUGCCAGCAGCCGCGGUAAUACGAAGGGGGCUAGCGUUGCUCGGAAUGACUGGGCGUAAAGGGCGUGUAGGCGGUUUACACAGUCAGAUGUGAAAUCCCCGGGCUUAACCUGGGAGCUGCAUUUGAUACGUGUAGACUAGAGUGUGAGAGAGGGUUGUGGAAUUCCCAGUGUAGAGGUGAAAUUCGUAGAUAUUGGGAAGAACACCGGUGGCGAAGGCGGCAACCUGGCUCAUGACUGACGCUGAGGCGCGAAAGCGUGGGGAGCAAACAGGAUUAGAUACCCUGGUAGUCCACGCUGUAAACGAUGUGUGCUAGAUGUUGGGUAACUUUGUUAUUCAGUGUCGCAGUUAAC
rnacentral:rRNA from 1 species